CGUCAAGUCCUCAUGGCCCUUAUGUCCUGGGCUACACACGUACUACAAUGGCCGGUACAAAGCGAAGCGAAACCGCGAGGUGGAGCAAACCGCAGAAAGCCGGUCUCAGUUCAGAUUGGAGUCUGAAACCCGACUCCAUGAAGGUGGAAUCGCUAGUAAUCGCGCAUCAGCAUGGCGCGGUGAAUACGUUCCCGGGCCUU
rnacentral:rRNA from 1 species